GGAACUCUAGCUCAGUGGGAGAGCACAUUCCUUGUAUGCAGAAGGUGCCAGAUUUGAUCCCUGGCACCUCCA